AUUGAACGCUGGCGGCAGGCCUAACACAUGCAAGUCGAGCGGAAGAAGGGAGCUUGCUCCUGGAUUCAGCGGCGGACGGGCGAGUAAUGCCUAGGAAUCUGCCUGGUUGUGGGGGAUAACGUCCGGAAACGGGCGCUAAUACCGCAUACGUCCUGAGGGAGAAAGUGGGGGAUCUUCGGACCUCCCGCCAUCAGAUGAGCCUAGGUCGGAUUAGCUAGUUGGUGGGGUAAAGGCCUACCAAGGCGACGAUCCGUAACUGGUCUGAGAGGAUGAUCAGUCACACUGGAACUGAGACACGGUCCAGACUCCUACGGGAGGCAGCAGUGGGGAAUAUUGGACAAUGGGCGAAAGCCUGAUCCAGCCAUGCCGCGUGUGUGAAGAAGGUCUUCGGAUUGUAAAGCACUUUAAGUUGGGAAGAAGGGCAGUAAGUUAAUACCUUGCUGUUUUGACGUUACCAACAGAAUAAGCACCGGCUAACUUCGUG
rnacentral:rRNA from 1 species